rfam:Pyrenochaeta sp. DS3sAY3a unplaced genomic scaffold IQ07scaffold_10, whole genome shotgun sequence.
GUCUCGUUGGUGUAGUCGGUUAUCACGUGGGUCUCAUACACAAUAUGACUGUUUAGAAAACAGACAUCCCAAGGUCGCCAGUUCGAAUCUGGCACGGGACA